rnacentral:rRNA from 1 species
UACGUAGGGUGCAAGCGUUGUCCGGAAUUAUUGGGCGUAAAGAGCUCGUAGGCGGUUUGUCGCGUCUGCUGUGAAAACUCGGGGCUUAACCCCGGGCCUGCAGUGGGUACGGGCAGACUAGAGUGCGGUAGGGGAGACUGGAAUUCCUGGUGUAGCGGUGAAAUGCGCAGAUAUCAGGAGGAACACCGGUGCGGAAGGCGGUCUCUGGGCCGUAACUGACGCUGAGGAGCGAAAGCGUGGGGAGCGAACAGG